rnacentral:misc_RNA from 1 species
GGAUCCUUACCAAACACUUGGACCCGAAUCUGAUCAUAUUCUAUAUUCGGUCCUGUAAGAAAGUCAUAGAUUCAUUCUUUUUCAAUCAACUUCUGGAAUUUAACAGCAUCAGCAGUACAGAUGGCCUCAAAACCUUGGUAAUAGUCCAGUUCUUGACACAAACCACUCAAUUCAGCCAAAACCUGAGCAAUGGUCAUCUCUCCUCCUUUUGUAUUAUGAACCUUGUUUUGUAUCUCAUAGAUCUGUGCGUCAUUGCCCAUUUGGGAAUAAGCUUGGGACACAACACUCCAGAUUGCAGCAACACUAUUUAAAAGCAAAUAUCCAUGGGCUAUUUGUAGUUGCAUUGAAUUACUUAGCCAAGACAUUGUAAGGGAAUUCUCUAAUUCCCAUUGACUAUGAGUAUAACUACCAGAUUUUGGUUUUGUUUUUUUCCCAGUAACAUAUCUUUGUAGUCCUCCAGUUUGAAUAAAUAACAAGCAAGAUCUCGAC